CCGAACCCACUGACUUUGAAAAGUCAGGGGAUGACUUGUGGCUGGGGGUGAAAGGCCAAUCAAACCGGGAGAUAGCUGGUUCUCCCCGAAAACUAUUUAGGUAGUGCCUCGGACGAACACCAUUGGGGGUAGAGCACUGUUAAGGCUAGGGGGUCAUCCCGACUUACCAACCCUUUGCAAACUCCGAAUACCAAUGAGUGCUAUCCGGGAGACACACGGCGGGUGCUAACGUCCGUCGUGAAGAGGGAAACAACCCAGACCGCCAGCUAAGGUCCCAAAAUAUUGCUAAGUGGGAAACGAUGUGGGAAGGCUAAGACAGCCAGGA
rnacentral:rRNA from 1 species